UACGUAGGGGGCAAGCGUUGUCCGGAUUUAUUGGGCGUAAAGAGCGUGUAGGCGGCCUGAAAGGUCGGCUGUGAAAACUCGAGGCUCAACCUCGAGACGUCGGUUGAAACCAUCUGGCUAGAGUCCGGAAGAGGAGUGUGGAAUUCCCGGUGUAGCGGUGAAAUGCGUAGAUAUCGGAAGGAACAUCAGUGGCGAAAGCGGCUUCCUGGUCCAGCACCGACGUCAGGCACGAAAGCGUGGGGAGCAAACAGG
rnacentral:rRNA from 1 species